GCUGAACCAACAGAUUCACUUCGGUGAUGACGUUGGGAACGCGAGCGGCGGAUGGGUGAGUAACACGUGGGGAACCUGCCCCAUAGUCUGGGAUACCACUUGGAAACAGGUGCUAAUACCGGAUAAGAAAGCAGAUCGCAUGAUCAGCUUAUAAAAGGCGGCGUAAGCUGUCGCUAUGGGAUGGCCCCGCGGUGCAUUAGCUAGUUGGUAGGGUAACGGCCUACCAAGGCAAUGAUGCAUAGCCGAGUUGAGAGACUGAUCGGCCACAUUGGGACUGAGACACGGCCCAAACUCCUACGGGAGGCAGCAGUAGGGAAUCUUCCACAAUGGACGAAAGUCUGAUGGAGCAACGCCGCGUGAGUGAAGAAGGUUUUCGGAUCGUAAAGCUCUGUUGUUGGUGAAGAAGGAUAGAGGUAGUAACUGGCCUUUAUUUGACGGUAAUCAACCAGAAAGUCACGGCUAACUACGUGCCAGCAGCCGCGGUAAUACGUAGGUGGCAAGCGUUGUCCGGAUUUAUUGGGCGUAAAGCGAGCGCAGGCGGAAGAAUAAGUCUGAUGUGAAAGCCCUCGGCUUAACCGAGGAACUGCAUCGGAAACUGUUUUUCUUGAGUGCAGAA
rnacentral:rRNA from 1 species